rnacentral:rRNA from 1 species
GGGCAGGGUGAGUCGACCCCUAAGGCGAGGCCGAAAGGCGUAGUCGAUGGGAAACAGGUUAAUAUUCCUGUACUUGGUGUUACUGCGAAGGGGGGGCGGAGAAGGCUAUGUUGGCCGGGCGACGGUUGUCCCGGUUUAAGCGUGUAGGCUGGUUUUCCAGGCAAAUCCGGAAAAUCAAGGCUGAGGCGUGAUGACGAGGCACUACGGUGCUGAAGCAACAAAUGCCCUGCUUCCAGGAAAAGCCUCUAAGCAUCAGGUAACAUCAAAUCGUACCCCAAACCGACACAGGUGGUCAGGUAGAGAAUACCAAGGCGCUUGAGAGAACUCGGGUGAAGGAACUAGGCAAAAUGGUGCCGUAACUUCGGGAGAAGGCACGCUGAUAUGUAGGUGAAGCGACUUGCUCGUGGAGCUGAAAUCAGUCGAAGAUACCAGCUGGCUGCAACUGUUUAUUAAAAACACAGCACUGUGCAAACACGAAAGUGGACGUAUACGGUGUGACGCCUGCCCGGUGCCGGAAGGUUAAUUGAUGGGGUCAGCGCAAGCGAAGCUCUUGAUCGAAGCCCCGGUAAACGGCGGCCGUAACUAUAACGGUCCUAAGGUAGCGAAAUUCCUUGUCGGGUAAGUUCCGACCUGCACGAAUGGCGUAAUGAUGGCCAGGCUGUCUCCACCCGAGACUCAGUGAAAUUGAACUCGCUGUGAAGAUGCAGUGUACCCGCGGCAAGACGGAAAGACCCCGUGAACCUUUACUAUAGCUUGACACUGAACAUUGAGCCUUGAUGUGUAGGAUAGGUGGGAGGCUUUGAAGUGUGGACGCCAGUCUGCAUGGAGCCGACCUUGAAAUACCACCCUUUAAUGUUUGAUGUUCUAACGUUGACCCGUAAUCCGGGUUGCGGACAGUGUCUGGUGGGUAGUUUGACUGGGGCGGUCUCCUCCUAAAGAGUAACGGAGGAGCACGAAGGUUGGCUAAUCCUGGUCGGACAUCAGGAGGUUAGUGCAAUGGCAUAAGCCAGCUUGACUGCGAGCGUGACGGCGCGAGCAGGUGCGAAAGCAGGUCAUAGUGAUCCGGUGGUUCUGAAUGGAAGGGCCAUCGCUCAACGGAUAAAAGGUACUCCGGGGAUAACAGGCUGAUACCGCCCAAGAGUUCAUAUCGACGGCGGUGUUUGGCACCUCGAUGUCGGCUCAUCACAUCCUGGGGCUGAAGUAGGUCCCAAGGGUAUGGCUGUUCGCCAUUUAAAGUGGUACGCGAGCUGGGUUUAGAACGUCGUGAGACAGUUCGGUCCCUAUCUGCCGUGGGCGCUGGAGAACUGAGGGGGGCUGCUCCUAGUACGAGAGGACCGGAGUGGACGCAUCACUGGUGUUCGGGUUGUCAUGCCAAUGGCACUGCCCGGUAGCUAAAUGCGGAAGAGAUAAGUGCUGAAAGCAUCUAAGCACGAAACUUGCCCCGAGAUGAGUUCUCCCUGACUCCUUGAGAGUCCUGAAGGAACGUUGAAGACGACGACGUUGAUAGGCCGGGUGUGUAAGCGCAGCGAUGCGUUGAGCUAACCGGUACUAAUGAACCGUGAGGCUUAACCUU